GACGAACGCUGGCGGCGUGCCUAAUACAUGCAAGUAGAACGCACAGUUUAUACCGUAGCUUGCUACACCAUAGACUGUGAGUUGCGAACGGGUGAGUAACGCGUAGGUAACCUGCCUGGUAGCGGGGGAUAACUAUUGGAAACGAUAGCUAAUACCGCAUAAUAUUAAUUAUUGCAUGAUAAUUGAUUGAAAGAUGCAACUGCAUCACUACCAGAUGGACCUGCGUUGUAUUAGCUAGUAGGUGAGGUAACGGCUCACCUAGGCGACGAUACAUAGCCGAGCCGAGAGGGUGAACGGCCACCACGGGAAUGAGAAAAGGCCCAGACCUCUACGGGGGGCAGCAGUAGGGAAUCUUCGGAAAUGGACGAAAGUCUGAACGAGCAACGACGCGGGAGUGAAGAAGGUUCUCGGAUCGGAAAGCUCUGUUGUAAGAGAAGAAAGGGUGUGAGAGUGGAAAGUUCACACUGUGACGGUAUCUUACCAGAAAGGGACGGCUAACUACGUG
rnacentral:rRNA from 1 species